rnacentral:rRNA from 1 species
UGGAGAGCUUGAUCCUGGCUCAGAAUGAACGUUGGCGGUGCGCCUUAUGCAUGCAAGUCGAACGGGGUUAUAUUCUUCGGAUUGUAACCUAGUGGCGAACGGCUGAGUAACACGUAAGUAACCUGCCUUGGAGUGGGAAAUAACCUGCCGAAAGGCGAGCUAAUGUCCCAUGUGAUAGCGAAGUUGAUGCUUUGUUAUUAAAGCCUUAGGGUGCUCCAAGAGGGGCUUGCGUCUGAUUAGCUAGUUGGUAGGGUAAUGGCUUACCAAGGCGAUGAUCGGUAGCUGGUCUGAGAGGAUGGUCAGCCAGAUGGGGACUGAGAUACGGCCCCAACUCCUACGGGAGGCAGCAGCAAGGAAUCUUGGGCAAUGGGCGAAAGCCUGACCCAGCGACGCCGCGUGAGGGAUGAAGGCCUUCGGGUUGUAAACCUCUUUUCUUGGGGAAGAAUUAUGACGGUACCCGAGGAAUAAGCCCCGGCCAACUACGUGCCAGCAGCCGCGG